rnacentral:tRNA from 1 species
GCUAGUAGCUCAGUUUGGUUAGAGCGCGCGCUUGAUAAGCGUGAGGUCGGAGGUUCAAGUCCUCCCUGGCCCACCAUU